GUCUUAAACGAAACUAGAAAUGUACUAACUUAAAACCAUAAACUAGUGAAUAGCAAAAAAGAAAUGGCCAACUCAAUCACUUUCCGACAUAUCAACUCAAUCACUAGUGAAGGUUGGAAAGAGAGAGAUAUAGAGUACCAAUGCUGAAGUGAUUGACUUAAGCAAAAAAACAAGAAAAAACACUUAAGACCAAAAGUACUCUUUAUGACAAAAACUCACGUGUGUUAAAAAAUUUAAAAAAAAUUCUGGAAGAAACAGUGGUAAUCG
rnacentral:lncRNA from 1 species